GUGGGGAAUAUUGGACAAUGGGCGCAAGCCUGAUCCAGCCAUGCCGCGUGAGUGAUGAAGGCCUUAGGGUUGUAAAGCUCUUUCAGUGGGGACGAUAAUGACGGUACCCACAGAAGAAGCCCCGGCUAACUUCGUGCCAGCAGCCGCGGUAAUACGAAGGGGGCUAGCGUUGUUCGGAAUUACUGGGCGUACAGCGCACGUAGGCGGGUAUUUAAGUCAGGGGUGAAAUCCCGGAGCUCAACUCCGGAACUGCCUUUGAUACUGGGUACCUAGAGUAUGGAAGAUGUAAGUGGAAUGCCGAGUGUAGAGGUGAAAUUCGUAGAUAUUCGGAGGAACACCAGUGGCGAAGGCGGCUUACUGGUCCAUUACUGACGCUGAGGUGCGAAAGCGUGGGGAGCAAACAGGAUUAGAAACCCGAGUAGUCC
rnacentral:rRNA from 1 species